GAUGACGCUGGCGGCGUGCCUAAUACAUGCAAGUCGAGCGAACGGACGAGUGAGUAAGGUCUGGGAAACUGGCCGAUGGAGGGGGAUAAUUACUGGAAACGGUAGCUAAUACCGCAUACCAUCGACCGAACACAGAUGGGAUCAGCUAGUAGGUGGGGUAACGGCUCACCUAGGCGACGAUCCCUAGCUGGUCUGAGAGGAUGACCAGCCACACUGGAACUGAGACACGGUCCAGACUCCUACGGGAGGCAGCAGUGGGGAAUAUUGCACAAUGGGCGCAAGCCUGAUGCAGCCAUGCCGCGUGUGUGAAGAAGGCCUUCGGGUUGUAAAGUACUUUCAGCGAGGAGGCGUUACCCGCAGAAGAAGCACCGGCUAACUCCGUGCCAGCAGCCGCGGUAAUUC
rnacentral:rRNA from 1 species